UCAUGAAGCUGGAAUUGCUAGUAAUGGCAGGUCAGCAUACUGCCGUGAAUACGUUCCCGGGCCUUGUACACACCGCCCGUCACACCAUGAGAGUUGGAAAUACCCGAAGCCUGUGAGCUAACUUAAAGAGGCAGCAGUCGAAGGUAGAGCCAAUGAUUGGGGUGAAGUCGUAACAAGGUACC
rnacentral:rRNA from 1 species